UACGAAGGGGGCUAGCGUUGCUCGGAAUUACUGGGCGUAAAGGGCGUGUAGGCGGUUAGUUAAGUCUGGCGUGAAAGCUCUCGGCUAAACCGGGAGAGGUCGUUGGAUACUGGCUGACUAGAGGACGGUAGAGGCGUGUGGAAUUCCGGGUGUAGUGGUGAAAUGCGUAGAGAUCCGGAGGAACACCAGUGGCGAAGGCGACACGCUGGGCCGUACCUGACGCUAAAGCGCGACAGCAUGGGGAGCAAACGGG
rnacentral:rRNA from 1 species